CCAUUAUGCAGAUGAUGAAGCUGAGUUCCAGAGCAUUUCAGGGACUUUCCCAGGCUUGUAUAACCAGUAUACCACACCUCAGACUCCAUGUACUCUGAGUGGCCAUGGAAUACCGUGGUUGUCAGAAUUCUCCUGGCACCCCUUUCAUUCAUCUCUAGCCAUCCUCUGGAGACUUUUCUCUGAACAUUCUGGAUCUGCCUUCUAAAAGUCCAGGAAUUGGAUGCAGAAUCAUGGUCUUUCUCUAACUUCUGGAAGAUAAAAACUCACCAGCAAAUUGCAAAUUCAUCAGCUGAGCUGCUUUCUGCAAGCAAUGUCUACCAGUUACAUGCAAGAUGGUUGAAGAGUACCUCAAGCAAUAUGCCAGCAUGGAUGACUCACAAGCUGGAGUCAAGAUUGCCAGGAAAGUAUUAGCAGCUUCAGAUAUGCAAAUGAUACGACUUUAAUGACAGAAAGUGAAGAGGAACC